rnacentral:rRNA from 1 species
ACGGGGAGCAGCAGGCACGAAACCUUUACACUGCACGGAAGUGCGAUAAGGGGACCCCGAGUGCGAGGGCAUACAGUCCUCGCUUUUCACGACCGUAGGGAGGUCGUGGAAUAAGAGCUGGGCAAGACCGGUGCCAGCCGCCGCGGUAAUACCGGCAGCUCGAGUGAUGGCCGCUGUUAUUGGGCCUAAAGCGUCCGUAGCCGGCCGUGCAAGUCCGUCGGGAAAUCCAUCGGCCCAACCGAUGGGCGUCCGGCGGAAACUGUACGGCUUGGGGCCGGAAGACCCGAGGGGUACGUCCGGGGUAGGAGUGAAAUCCCGUAAUCCUGGACGGACCACUGGUGGCGAAAGCGCCUCGGGAAGACGGAUCCGACAGUGAGGGACGAAAGCUGGGGUCUCGAACCGGAUUAGAUACCCGGGUAGUCCCAGCUGUAAACGAUGUCCGCUAGGUGUGGCGCAGGCUACGAGCCUGCGCUGUGCCGUAGGGAAGCCGUGAAGCGGACCGCCUGGGAAGUACGUCUGCAAGGAUGAAACUUAAAGGAAUUGGCGGGGGAGCAC